rnacentral:rRNA from 1 species
AUGGAGGACUACGGCGGCGUGGCGAGCCUGGUGGCGUCCGGGGUGGUGUUCUGGUCGACGGCGUUCCUGCUGCUGCGGUCGUUGCUCCCCAAGCGCUCCUACGAUUUCUGCAACCGCGCGGUCUCCACCAUGCACGCCGUCACCGGCGUCGCCCUCGGCUGCCUCUCCGUGCAGGACUGGGCCUCCCCCGUCUCCCCCGUCGCCUCACCCUCCUCGCCGCGCCAGAUGAGGGCGCUGGCGGUGACGCUGUCGUACAUGAUCUACGACGGGGCGUGCUGCCACCUGAGCGGCGACGCGCGGCUGGACAACGCCCUGCACCACCUCAUCAGCAUCGUCGGCCUCGCCGCCGGCCUCGCCUACCAGAGGUGUGGGACGGAGCUGGUGGCGUGCCUGAUCGUCACGGAGAUCUCCAGCCCGCUGCUGCACCUCAGGGAGAUGCUCAAGGAGAUCGGCGUCAAGGACACGGACCUCAACCUCCUCGUCGACAUCCUGUUCGCGGUGACCUUCUCGGUGGCACGGAUGGUUUGCGGGACGUACGUCACCUACCGCACUGUCACGGCUGACAAUCCCAUCCUCAUCAAGGCGAUGGCGACGAGCUUGCUGCUGGUAAGCGCCUACUGGUUCCUGAGGAUCCUCAGGAUGGUUAGGCACAAGAUUGGGAAGAAGAGGCUGGCGUCCAAAGCCGCCAGCAAGUGA